AGGACUGUCGUAGCUAACGUUAGCUCUGGUGCUAACUAGGGAUGUAUACCGUGGACCGGUACUCUAAUGUACCGGUCCAUGAUUGGUUCGGUCCGCGAACACCGUUAAGAUUCUGGAAAAACGGUACUAUUAUCGGUGCUUUGAAUGUCUCUUCAACUGUCGCUUAGUUACGACACUACCGCCGUCGACGGGUGAUGCGUAGAUAAGCAUGUCGGCGAGGGCUAAGCGCUCAAAGGUCUGGCUUCACUUUACCAAAGUGGAUGAAAACUCCGCCCGAUGCAAUGUGUGUGAGAAAACAGUUGCGUCCAAGGGGAGGAACAUGAGCAAUAUUACGAAACAUUUGGAGCGCGCGCACCGGAUAAAGCUUAAGGAGUGCGGACUAUUUGAUUGCUAUACCAAUAGCAUUAGCAACGCGAGUAAAGACUGCAGCACCGUGGCAGCGGCGCCCGACUUUUUUUCUACAUCAAGACCGGCUGAUGGAGGUAGCAGUGAAAGAACAGCUGUCAGAGGAUGAAGAUGUGAAGAUGAUGACUGAAGCUGAGUUCCAGGGGGGUGAAGAAGAGGAGGAGGAGGAAGGGGAGGAGGAUCAUCCAAAACCAAAAUCUGCACUGGGAGAGCUCUCCGCACAGGAAAAUAGACAACUGCAAAGGCAGCUCAGUCAGCAGCAGCAGAGUACACCAACAAUUCAAGAAAGACUGAAAAAAGAACUUAAAGUUUACAGAGAUCUUCCUCCCAUCCCUACUGAACAAGACCCUGUCCACUGGUGGUGGGAUAAGAUGGACACACUUCCCUUACUCUCACAGCUAUCUUUCACCUACCUCUGCGUCCAGGCCUCUUCAACGUCAUCUGAACGAGUGUUCUCAACCACUGGAGACACACUCUGUCAAGAGAGAGAUCUCGGCUGCUGCCAGACAAAGUUAACACGUUGCUGUUCCUUAAAAAUAACUGUUAAAGCCAAGUAAGGAUGGAAAAGUGCCUCCUCUACUACUUGCUCUGUUCUGCUUGAUGUAUGGGUCUGUCUUUCUUUGCAGCCUGUUAAGGAGCAUGAAGGGGUUUUGCCUGUGAGAAGCAUUAAAGUUAAUGGUUUACUUCUGUUGAAGCUUUAUUACCUUGUUGUAAUAAAAAAAAGGAUGAAACUUUAAA